UACAGAGGUCUCAAGCGUUGUUCGGAAUCACUGGGCGUAAAGGGUGCGUAGGUGGCGUGGUAAGUCAGAUGUGAAAUCCCUGGGCUCAACCCAGGAACUGCACUCGAAACUACUAUUCUUGAGUGUCGGAGAGGAAAGCGGAAUUCCUGGUGUAGAGGUGAAAUUCGUAGAUAUCAGGAGGAACACCAGUGGCGAAGGCGGCUUUCUGGACGAUAACUGACGCUGAGA
rnacentral:rRNA from 1 species